UAAAGAUUGCUUUUAUAGAUUUAAAAUUUGAUUAUGGUUUUGAAAAAGUUAAAAUAAUAUUAUUUAAUUUUAAUUUAUAAUGUGGGCAAUAAAAUUUUACCCCGUUAAUUUGUUAUUUGUAUAAUACUUGUUCCAGAAUAAUCGGCUAGGCUUGUUAAAAUUUAUACUUUAUUUUUUUUUAAUUACAGUUCGAAGUAAAAUUUUUAAGUAAUUAUAGGUUAAAUUUUAAUUAUUUUAAGAAUAUAAUUGUAAUUGUAAGAUUUGAUAAUCGAAUUAGAUUAGUACCUAAUUAGUCAAAGGUUAAUAAAGCAGAAGUAAAGUAAUGUUUAAACUGAAAGAAUAUUGGCAGAUUUUCUAAAUUAUCUUUGGAGGUUGAGUAAUAAUUGAGAACCCUCAUUAACUACUUUAAAAUUUUGUCUCAUGUAUGAUCGUUUAUUUUAUGUUUAAGAUAUAAAAUAAAAAAUUUUUAUUUUUAAAAAUAGAUAUAUAUUUGGUCUAUGUUAGAGUAAUAUUUGACCUACAAUAAUUUAAUUUUGUGGAUUUGUAAUGUAGUUAUUACAAUGAAAAUGUAAAAGACAGUAAAAAAAUUUUUAUGUUUUUUUGAAGAUUAUUUAGAUGUGGUACAAAUCAUCCAUCAAUUGCCCAAAGGGGAGUAAGUUGUAGUAAAGUAGAUUUAGGGGAACCUUAAUCUAGUAAU
rnacentral:ncRNA from 1 species